rnacentral:lncRNA from 1 species
GAUCAAUCAAUUUCAAUUCAUAAUAACUUAUUGUGUUCGCUUUCUUCGUGUAAGGUUUGUUGCAAUGUUGAAAUUUAAUAAUUUGGAUUGUAUUCACACCACAACAGCCCACUACCAUUUACUAUGAUGAACAAUGUUUUGAAGUUUAAUAAAUAAUGUUUGAGUGUAUAAGUGAGUAGAGCAAAAAAAACACACCUUUAUGUUAUUACUUUCUUUACUUUCUUUCUUUUGAACUACCUGAUCUACCUUCUUCGCG